rnacentral:lncRNA from 1 species
CGCUGCGGAAGCGCACGUCCUCCUCGCCGAACAGCCCGGUCAGGCAGCCCCGGCACAGGCAGUAGGCUUCAGGCAGGUACCUGGGGUACCUCGCCGGGUCGUAGGAGAUCUGUAGGCCCAGGGCGACACGCUGCGCAGGUUGGUGGGCGGCCGGAAGCGGCGGUCGGCGGGCCUGCCCCCUGCCGGGCAGCUCGCGUUGCGCGCCUGCUCACGCGGCCCCAGCUGCAGCGUGUGGUGGAAGGCACUGAGCACGCCGGCCGCCAGGCGCCCGUACAGCUGCUCCAGUAGCUCCUCCGGCCGGUCCGCGCAGCCCCGCGGCCG